CGACAUCACGCAAACCCAGGCCGGCAGGCACAGCUAUUCCAACCCUAGGCCGCCAACGCCCGACCCCCCCAUCUGUAAUUCUGUGUGGGCGCACGCACUGAUGCUCGUAACCGAUUCAAUCAUCAGGAAUGUCAGAGAAGCUAAUGGUUAUCCUAAUAUCUCUAUUGUUUAUCGCAUUACUGUGCCUGUGAUGGUCGCAUCUGCCGAAAGAAGAUUUUCGAAGUUGGAAUUAUUGAAGAAUUAUUUGUGGCCAACAAUGAAUCAAGAGAGGUUAAAUGAUUUGGCUAUAUUAUGCACUCAUAAGUUAUUGGUUGAGAUUGACAUCGACCCCAUCAUAAAUGACUUUUGAUCAAGAAAUGUUAGAAGAAAAUUUAAGGUAAUAUGUAUAAUUAUUUGA